rnacentral:rRNA from 1 species
GUGCACGCUGGCGGUAGGCCUAACACCUGCAAGUCGAACGGCAGCACAGUAAGAGCUUGCUCUUACGGGUGGCGAGUGGCGGACGGGUGAGGAAUACAUCGGAAUCUACUUUUUCGUGGGGGAUAACGUAGGGAAACUUACGCUAAUACCGCAUACGACCUACGGGUGAAAGCAGGGGAUCUUCGGACCUUGCGCGAUUGAAUGAGCCGAUGUCGGAUUAGCUAGUUGGCGGGGUAAAGGCCCACCAAGGCGACGAUCCGUAGCUGGUCUGAGAGGAUGAUCAGCCACACUGGAACUGAGACACGGUCCAGACUCCUACGGGAGGCAGCAGUGGGGAAUAUUGGACAAUGGGCGCAAGCCUGAUCCAGCCAUACCGCGUGGGUGAAGAAGGCCUUCGGGUUGUAAAGCCCUUUUGUUGGGAAAGAAAAGCAGCAGGUUAAUACCCCGCUGUUCUGACGGUACCCAAAGAAUAAGCACCGGCUAACUUCGU